CAGGGAGUGGUGGGAGAGGACGCUAGAGAGAAAGAUUGAGGCCAGGAUGUGGAGGACAUGGGUUGGCCCAUUGCCUAAUUUGUUUGGGGUUUGGGCUUUAUGUUCCAAGACUAGACAAGCUCAGAACAAGGCGUGUCUGAGAGAUUAAGCUCAGAAACAGAUGAGGAGGUAGCUCUGGGCCACCUGCUCUCAGGGUGUGGCCUGGAGGCCCAUGAUGUGCUUUGAAUUGCAGUCUAGGAACCACCACUCUGCCCCUCCCUCCCCUGCCAUGCAGCUGUAAAGCUAAGCCUUGCCAUGGCUCUGCCUCCUUUCCCACUCUUGUUUCCUAUGAGGGUAUGUUUCCAGGAACAAAGACGUUUGCUGUCAUUCCUUUGUCUCUUGGCAGAAUGGUAUCUCACCCCGCAUGCUGGCAUCCAUUCCUUUGAUAUUUAUUGAGCACUUUUCAUAUGCUAGGGGCUAUAAAUUGCUAUUUUAAAAAUCCCCUUGUGUUACUUGCAGUGUCCCCUGGUCCCCUUAUUUCCACUAUGAUUGUACCCUUUGCUUUAUGUCCAACUGGAUCCCCUCAAAUUCCUCAGUGGAGAGAGAUCCAUGCUUUUCAAAUCAUUGCAUUGAGAAAUAAAUGUAUUUUUCCUCUUAAAUGCCUCUUUCCCAGGUUAAAUGACCACCUAAUGGUUGUUUUCACCUCCUCUUUUUUUUUUUUUUUUUUUUUUUUUUUUUUUUUUUGAGACGGAGUCUCGCUCUGUCGCCCAGGCUGGAGUGCAGUGGCCAGAUCUCAGCUCACUGCAAGCUCCGCCUCCUGGGUUUACACCAUUCUCCUGCCUCAGCCUCCCGAGCAGCUGGGACCACAGGCUUCGCCACCUCCCCGGCUAGUUUUUUUGUAUUUUUUUAGUAGAGACGGGGUUUCACCGUGUUAGCCAGGAUGGUCUUGAUCUCCUGACCUCGUGAUCCGCCCAACUCGGCCUCCCAAAGUGCUGAGAUUACAGGCUUGAGCCACCGCGCCCGGCCUCACCUCCUCUUUUAACUUUUUUUUUUUUUUUGAGACGGAGUCUCUCACUGUUGCCCAUGCUGGAGUGUAGUGGCGCAAUCUUGGCUCACUGCCAUCUCUGCCUCCCUGGUUCAGUCAUUCUCCUGCCUUAGCCUCUGGAGUAGCUGGGACUACAGGCUCCCACCACCACGACUGGCUAAUUUUUUGUAUUUUUAAUAGAGACGGGGUUUCAUCGUGUUAACCAGAAUGGUCUCGAUCUCCUGACCUCGUGAUCCGCCCCCUUGACCUCCCAAAGUGCUGGGAUUACAGGCCUCAGCCACUGCACCCUGCCUAUCUUUUGUUUUACGACAACUGUUUAAUAACUUCCUAAGAUCUCUUGGGAAUUCUCCAGCGAGGACAAGGUUGUGAUUUCUGUCGUGCACAAGCAUCUGGUUUGAGCAGGCACGCCAGCCAGACAUGAUUCAGCACAAAUAUAAAUGGACAGCUCUUAUCCAUGCAGAGGAAUCUUAUGUAAAUAGAGGCUUAUUCAGGGCAAACCUUUUUUUUUUUUUUUUUUUUCAUUUUUACUGUUAUGUUUAUUUUCUCUGUAAGUGCUUUGUGAAUGCUGUCCCUUCAGUUUAUUCUUACAGCAGGACAAGGAAGUGAGUUAUUUAAAACUAGGAAGCUGGCUGGCAUAGUGGCCCAUGUCUAUAAUCCCAGCACUUUGGGAGGCUGAAGUGGGCGGAUUGCUUGAGCCUAGGAGUUCAAGACCAACCUGGGUUAGAUCGAGAGACCCUGUCUCUGCAAAAAAAAAA
ensembl:lncRNA